rnacentral:lncRNA from 1 species
AGAUUUUAGCAAUCGCCAGGAACCGUGCGGCACUUGACUUGAACACCUUCAAGCCAAGUCAGCCUUAAGAAUCACCCAAUAUCCUGUGAACAUGAAUACCCUGAUUAGUCAAUGUUAUAUAAACGAACAACGAAGCCAACAGACAGCAUUCCAUCAGAAGCCUCACAGUAGGUACAAAAGAUAAGAACUGAACAUGGAAAUUCAUGAACAG